AAAUUGAAGAGUUUGAUCAUGGCUCAGAUUGAACGCUGGCGGCAGGCCUAACACAUGCAAGUCGAACGGUAACAGGAAACAGCUUGCUGUUUCGCUGACGAGUGGCGGACGGGUGAGUAAUGUCUGGGAAACUGCCUGAUGGAGGGGGAUAACUACUGGAAACGGUAGCUAAUACCGCAUAACGUCGCAAGACCAAAGAGGGGGACCUUCGGGCCUCUUGCCAUCGGAUGUGCCCAGAUGGGAUUAGCUAGUAGGUGGGGUAACGGCUCACCUAGGCGACGAUCCCUAGCUGGUCUGAGAGGAUGACCAGCCACACUGGAACUGAGACACGGUCCAGACUCCUACGGGAGGCAGCAGUGGGGAAUAUUGCACAAUGGGCGCAAGCCUGAUGCAGCCAUACCGCGUGUAUGAAGAAGGCCUUCGGGUUGUAAAGUACUUUCAGCGGGGAGGAAGGGAGUAAAGUUAAUACCUUU
rnacentral:rRNA from 1 species